GAUGAACGCUAGCGGCAGGCCUAAUACAUGCAAGUCGAGGGAGAAUGUUGGAUUCGUCUGACAUGAAACCGGCGCACGGGUGCGUAACACGUAUGCAACCUACCUUUAACUGGGGUAUAGCUCAGAGAAAUCUGAAUUAAUCCCCCAUAAGACUACGACAUGGCAUCAUGAUGUAGUUAAAGCUCCGGCGGUUAAGGAUGGGCAUGCGGUACAUUAGCUAGUUGGUGAGGUAAUGGCUCACCAAGGCUACGAUGUAUAGGGGGUCUGAGAGGAUGAUCCCCCACACUGGUACUGAGACACGGACCAGGCUCCUACGGGAGGCAGCAGUAGGGAAUAUUGGUCAAUGGACGCAAGUCUGAACCAGCCAUGCCGCGUGAAGGAUGAAGGCCCUAUGGGUCGUAAACUUCUUUUAUUAGGGAAGAAAAAACGGGAUGCGUCCUGUACUGACGGUACUUAAUGAAUAAGGAUCGGCUAACUACGUGCCAGCAGCCGCAGUAA
rnacentral:rRNA from 1 species